rnacentral:rRNA from 1 species
AGAGUUUGAUCCUGGCUCAGAGCGAACGCUGGCGGCAGGCCUAACACAUGCAAGUCGAGCGCGUGUAGCAAUACACGAGCGGCAGACGGGAGAGUAACACGUGGGAACGUACCCUUCGGUUCGGAAUAACCCAGGGAAACUUGGACUAAUACCGGAUACGUCCGAAAGGAGAAAGAUUUAUCGCCGAAGGAUCGGCCCGC